rnacentral:piRNA from 1 species
UGACUUAUGUGCCAGUGGUUGUCUGG